AACUUUCGACAAUGGAUCACUUGGCUCUCGCAUCGAUGAAGAACGCAGCAAAACGCGAAAUGUAAUGUGAAUUGCAGAAACCAAGUGAAUCAUCGAAUCUUUGAACGCAUCUUGCGCCCGGUGGUAUUCCGCGGGGCAUGCCUGUCUGAGUGUCACGAUUGUUGAACACGCAUGUGCAUUGUAAGGUGUAUGUGGGUGGAGGUUGGGUGUGGUUGUGUGAACAGCCCACCUUAAAGCGAAGGAGCCGACGGUGAAAUGUACGGCUUGACCGAGUGUUGUAGUUUUUCACGCUCGCUACGUGCUGCUGUGUGCCAGUGACAAAAACAUCAAGUGAACGAGACCUCAGAUCAGGUAGGAUUACCCGCUGAACUUAAGCAUAUCAAUAAGCGGAGGCU
rnacentral:misc_RNA from 1 species